ACGAUAAAUCAAAUGUUUUGCGAUUAAAUCCUGGUCUAUAUAAGACGGGCUUGAACUUGCGCGCGCGAGUAUGUGGCAAUCGACUUGCCCCAUUACCCCAAAGGUGAAAUCUGCCGGCAAAAAGAGAGCGCCAACGUCACUUAUCGAAAUUAGUAGUAAACUAGCAGUGGAAACUAACAUCCGUUUUUACGUAGUUCCAAAAGUCCUUAGUGAAGAAGUUCUUAGGAGGAAAUAUCUGUUUUUAAGUGACGUUCGUGCGAUGCAUUAAACUUGUAUAAUACGUUCUCUGUGUUCCUUGUGCCAAGACCGAUUACCAGUUUUGCCAGAGAUUUCUUCUUUAGAUUCCUUUGUCACUUACAUUAAAUAUUAUUACAUGAUACUAAAGUAAACUGAUGUGGAUAAAAUAGAAGGAGAAGGUUGUAAUAUAUGAGCACAUGAAACAUAUUAAAGAAGAAAAGAAGAGAGAACAGAAUCCGCUUGCGGAAAGCGAUAUUCUUGGAACUUGAUAUCGUGAAUUUUGUACUUCUUCUUGUCUUCAGAAUUCUGGUCUUCAGAGAGAAAUAACGUUCUAUGUAUGAUCUUUAAUAUCAAAUCAAAUUCUGCUGCUUCGUGUCUCCUAAUGCAUAAUUCAACGGUGCGCGUGCUGCAGGCGAUUAUGCGUGCAAUACAUCUUCCGUUGAUUCCUCGACUCAUGUAACCAGCCGAUAAUCCUUGCAACAUAAAACCCGAUAUGGCUCCUUUGUCAGACGAAUAUAUAGAGCGUCAGUAGCCACUUGACAAUACAUUCAAUAAGUGAUUAACAUAUUAUAAUCUGCAAUAAAAUUUUUCCUUACGUCUACAAAUUAAAAUAUAAAAUUAAAAUAUAAAUAUAAAUUGUUAACUUUACAAGUGUGUUUCACACAUUCCACUAAAAUUUUUCUGGGAACUGAGGAAAGGAAGAAGAUUUCCGUUAAAAUUACGAAACACAGUUCAUCAGAAUGACUUGCUUCUCUCAGUUGUUUCGGUAUUCAAAGUUAAAGUGUUGUCAUUGAAACUUCCGUCAUUAUUUUUAACUGUGUUUUAACUCUAUAUUGUCUUUAGCGAGCAAAUGGCGUUGCAAGUUUGGGAUACUCCGUUGAGCAAAUCCGCUUGACUUCCCCUUUCCCGAUGGUUGGCCCGGUAUCGAUUCUUGAUUUGCAAGAAUUACGAUGCGUUCGCAAUCGCAAUCGCGCUGAUAACAAAUUUCCUUUUAACGGAUAUUGCAUUCUUCGGAACGACAUAGCUCCGUUCUUUUUCAACUGCCGGCAUUUACCAUGAUUUCUGCCUGCAGCGGCCCGUGAAAUUUUGCAUUUUUCGAUUCACACGCAGGUGGGACGCGAGAGGGAAAUGUUAUUUCCGACGUGCGAUUGCAAGCAAAUUUUCACGACCUCCGAACAUAUCGCUUGGAUAUUUCGUGAAUGGUGAUUUCACUUAGUCCAGUUGAGUGGAAACGUUUCAACUACAUUGCACGAGCGCUUCGACUCACUCGAAUAGCCAACGGCGAAUAAGUCUAAUGUCUUAAUAAUACAGCAUCAAAAAGCUUUAACGUAAAAUUCCAGUUUAAAUCACUGCUUUUGACACUUUACGAGUAAAAAUAUUAUUUGCUGUCGGAAAACGAUAAUAAAUGUUCUGUUCUACAUUAUUAUACGUGAUUGUGGCGAAGACAGAAGAUGCGUGAAAAGCGAGUGAGUUUAAUAUGUCUUGUUAAGAAAUUAAGUCUUUUUAUUCAUCGUUGUUCCAACAACUAAAUUAAAACAUAUAUCUUUCUACAUGAAAUAUGAAGAUGUGGAAACGCAAAACUAUUAAGGCAAUUUCUCGCUUAAGCGAUCAGGAGUUCAGGUCUUCAUGCGCGUCGAAUAACUCUCUUCAAACACCAUUUAAUCGUUUAUCGUUGAAGCUCAGAUGAUAAUAACUUUAUAUUGGAUAACAGAGAGAUGACGGUGACUGGCUUCAUAUCUUGCUACAAACAAAGCACAUAUCUCGCAUUGCAAAUUUGUGGGGGGACACGCCAGAUCCAAUACCGCAAAUAUGAAAAUAACUAUAACGUAUCCGACCACCUAUAUCACCCCACGUGCCAUUGUGUGAAAAUGCAAGAAUUUCCACUCGAGUCGCUGUAGCAGUGAAUCGCAAAGGACGGUAUUUUCUCAUUUUCCAUGUUGUAGCUCAGUAACAAUUAAUAUCACCAUGUUGUUUCGCUGAAAGAGAAAGAGAGACUCCUGCUCUGUUGACACAGGGACUUCAAAUGGUCGCUUUCAGAACAGAACUAAAAGCUCUCCGAACGGUUAAAUCAAUUUACAUAACUGAGUUUCAUUCGUACUUUAAAUUAACUCCUAUGACAGCACAUUUUGCAACAUACUCGAAAUUGCCAUUAGAGGAAAUAAAACAUUAAUUAAUUGCUAUGUUUUUCGUUUUCUGCAACAGUAUAUUGGAAAAAUUUAGCAUGUAAUCAGUAAUUUGUCAUAUUUUAUGCUGCAUGUGUAUAGAUAUAUAAUCAUUUCAUCAUAAUGAAUUCUUCCGGAUUCUUUUCCUGUCGAGAGAGAGGGAGAGAUAGCCAGAACCAGAUAUGUUUUAUUUUAUUUAUACAGGAAAUAGUUAAUUAAUUGAAUCACGUUCUGCAAGCAAACCUGACAAUAUUGUUAGUUGGUCGGUCGAGUUCUUCCAGCAGAUUUUAAUCCAAUUAUUCUACCGAGCAGAGUUGAUCAAUAUAAAUAUUUGAAAGCGCGCGUCCUGCGAAAAGCGCAGACAGGUCUUGUUUGCAAUAAAAUAAAAUCAUAUCAGGAAAUCAGAUUAAAGUGUUACACACGUAUGCAAGCGCAAUAUAAAUAGAUCUAUGAACGAGCUGAAGUUAACUUUGCCAUGUAACUGUUUAUCAAAAUUUAUUAUACAAUAUUUACUGCUGCUGCUCCAUCUUUUAUUGCAUUACCGAGAUACUUAUAGUCUCCGAUAAAUUUAUUAAGCAAAGUGUAAAUUUAAGCCGAACGCUCCAUAGCUAAAGUGAAAUACGAUUAUUUUUUAACACUCUGCACAUGGCGAGUAUAUUUAAACGCUUUUAAGCCGUAAGGAUUUCGCUAGGCUGUAUUAAACCUCUAUAAAGGGUAGGAUAUCUGCAUACUUCAUCGUCAGGAAGACGAAAAUUGCUGAAAAUAUCCCAGUCUCAUGUUCGUCAAAUUGGUCAUAUCGAUUAUCGAUUGCAACUACGAAAGGGAACUCCGGGAAUUCCGAAUUAUCAUCGCUUUCACGAAAGAACGACUUCACUUGCCAUCAAGUGAAGUAGAAUUGGAAUUUUAUCAUUGCACAUACACACGCAUACGCUAUACACAUACACAUGCAUGUAUAUGUACAGCUUAUAGUCAUAAGUUAAUUAUUGAUUUCCAGUUUGUCGGUUAAUCGAUAUAUCAAAUCAGAGGAAACCUUUUUACAGUUAAAUCUGUUUUCAAUUUUUAUACUGUAAACUCAAAGUGACUUUAACAUGAUCACAGAAACAGUUUACCCCAGCUUCGUUACAGGAAAGCAGUUCCAUUUCAUCAACUUAAUGUACAUGAUCCUAACUGAUCUUAAUUCAUUUUAUCUGCUCGUCGCGUCUGUGAUUAUUUGUUUAUUCAAAUUUGAUAGCGAGAAAUGAGACGCGCAUACACAUUCCAUUACUCCAAGUUAUUCUGUAAGAAUGUAGGAGCGUGACAUGUGCAUAAUUAUCGUUAAAUAAUUAUCGGCGCGCAAUUCCGGUGCAAGUUAGGCCGAGAUAAUAAGGUAACCGGUUAAACGUAUAAAUUGGGUGCGCAUGUGCCUCGGAGGUUUUAGCAAACUCUCGAUGCCGUGGUAACGCGGUGACCCGUGCCGAAAGCCCAGCUCAGGCCGGUUACCGUAUUACAAAUUAGAUUCGCUAACUCUUCUCUAGCAGAUAAUUCGUUUAAACGUCCGGGCGCGAAAUAGAGCGGGUAACUCAAUGGCCUUGGCUAACUGGAUUUUUCAGCCGGACACAAAACUGACGUGAUUACCUGCAAUUAUAAUGAUAUCACCACAUCUCACCCUCGCCCGCGAAGUUAAUGAUCGAAGAAACUUGGAAGCAAACAAGUCGGUCCCCAGAAAGCGUAGGAUAACAGGUGUCCCUGAUCGACUGCAUUUCCUACCAAUCUGCAAUCCCUUCAACGAACUUCAGGUUGUCUUUCCUCAAGGGAAAUUCGAUGGAUCGUUCACUUACACCGCUGUUGCCGGGACCGUUUCCAAUGAAACUGCUCUUGUGUAUUUCGAGUUCGAACUUCACGUUAAUGGGAAUUUAUUUUUGAAUUCAGUCAUCAAAAACUCGGCAAAUCUAAGAACUGAAAUUAAUUUGGUGUUGUAAAAAGUUGAAGAGGUUGACGUCUGCCAUCGCAUAAUUUUCUCUAAAGACUCAUUAGGAACAUCCGGCUGAAAUUGAUGCGAAACAUCUCACAUAUGACUCUACUACAGUUAUGCUUGGAUACUAAUUUACUUAAGUACUAAUUUUCUCGAGCCCUAACAUGCUUGGCUGCUAACUUUCUUAAAUACCAAAUUCCUGGAAUCCAGAUUUCAAGGAGUCCUAGCAUAUAAGACUUGGCUUUGAUCCUAGUUUGCCUGGAUAGUCGCUGGCCUAGAUAGUAGUUUGCUUAGAUCCCAGCAAACCUCCUUUCUCUAUGUACAAGUUCCAUCUUUUGUGUUCCAGCUUUUGGGUUUCUUGAAUUCGACAGUGCACGACUUUCUUCAGCAAAGAACAUGACAUAUCAUACAUAUUUUGAUCAAACGCAUCAGGGAACUCACGCAGAAAUAUGAUAAGACAAGAAUAAUAAAUUGAAAAUAAACCAAAGAAAAACAGAGAUUUCCUCUCUUUAUGUAUAAGUUUCAUCUUUUGUAUUCCAGCUUUUGAGUUUCUUGAAUUCGACAUUGCACGACAUUCUUCAGCAAAGAACAUGGCAUAUUACACAUAUUUUGAUCAAACGCAUCAGAGGCAGAAACACAUAUUUCGCAGAAAUAUAAGACAAAAGUAAUAAAUUAAGAAUAAAAGGAACCAAAGGAACAGAGAUCUGAUAGUUCUAUUAAUGAAUACUCUCCACCUUGGUCACGAGACUUUUAUUCAUUCGCGAUAAGGUAAGAAAUUCAGUCCGCGCUCUGCCUUCGCGAAGAAUUUGUCACGUCUAUAAAACGUGGAUCUCCGUCAGCUUGCACUCGAUGCGAGGUAAACGACGCACGAAUGUGAAGAUACGCGAGCAGCAGAGAGAGGAGAGACGAAAAGGAAGAAGAGGAAUUCCCGGUGGGAAGGGUGCACGGUUGUCGUGGCGCCGAAUGUUAUCAUCCUCGCAUCUUCCUCAUCGUAUUCGUCGCUUUGAUUCUAUCCGCAAUUCGUCGGUGAAACAUUUUCCUAGGAAAUACCGCGAACGUGCGUCGCAAGGUACACAAGUUCCAGAACUGCGAGUCGUAUUGGCUGCUCAUGGAUUAAAUGCAUUAACAUCCUCGAAGCGGCAUGGGAUUGUGUGCGUAUGAAUGUAAAUUAAUUAGAGAUAUUUGUAAAAUUUAUGCGCUUUCGCUUACGAUAUUUAAUAACUGUGGUAAUUACCAUUAUAAUUAUCGUUUUGUUCAGUUUAUCACUUGGUACUUAUCGAUUGGAUAAGACGUGUGAUUCCAGAAUACCGUAUACUGUAUGUUACAAUGAGCUUUUCUACGAGGACAUAGGAACACGCCGGGAACGAGUUUGUGGAGGCGAAAUUCUGUUAAAACUAACUAAGCGAAGGCGGUUGUGAAAACAAUUUCACUCGCAACAAGGUAAGCUCUCUCAGUCUCCACAAAGUGAUACGUGUCCUUCUAGAGCAUUUCCGUUGUUGGUGACUAACUGACCGCUGCCAGGAUUGCUAAAUAAGAAGAUUUCUAAACUUUUCCUAAUGAGUUUCCUUUCUAAAUUCUAAAUUUUCCUAAAAACAAAUCCUAAAUUUUCCUUCCAUGAUUACUUAGUCCUCUAUCAAUUUCUAUUGACAGAGAAUCACAAUUCUGGAAAAAUUCUUGGAAAUUAUAUAAUACUUGCAUUUCCUCAACACACGUAUCUGUCUUAUAUAAUUGUUUAACGCCGCGCGCGCUACAAGAAUAUAUAAUUAAUUUGAUAAUACCCAUAAUCUUCGCCUUUACUUCACAAUAAUUGUGUUAGACAGUCAAGAUUGCCGUAUAAUGGGACAAAGAUAUACAGGUGUAACUUUCAGCCUUUACAACUACGGAACUUGUGGUUUCAACAAGAAUCCCAGGAACUCCAUCUCGGCACUUUGAAUUCGACCUCAUUGUAAUGCGGAAUUUGAUCUGCGCCAUUUUCGUGAAAUCUCAUUACAAAGUGCGGUAUGUAAUCAAAAUUAUCCGAGGAAUUUAAUUUAUGCCACAAUCUGCAAUAGUUGUAUCAAUAUUGUAGGUGAGAGCAAACCACGGUUAUUCUGCGGUUUAAAGGUAAAUAAACGAAUAUCAUAAAUAUAACGUUGCCUUUGUUCUACUUUUGUACUGUGCAAGAACGUCAGUCGUUUCCGUUUCAAGAUAUUGAUCUGGCGAAAUAUGUCGUCUUCUAUUUACGCACGGCCGGCUUCCUCAGGAAUUUCCUCUAUUUUCGGAAGCCUAAUUGUAGUCUAUUGUAAUCGCGUUCCAUUCUUUGCUGUCGCACCUGCAACCAGCUGGAAUUCAACUUCCUGUCUAGCGACAGCAGGAACAUUCGCUUUUCUAUUAGCAGUUUCAUUAAAGUGAAAAAUGGUUUUGUGUAUCAUAUCUCACAAUUAUUUAGAGUUUCAAGAACUUGAACGUAAUAUCCGAGACUUUAUACUUGGUGCAAUAAUGAAGUGAAAUCGAACAGAUAUUUCUAAAGUACGAGGAAUAUACAGAGCGUGGAAUACAGAGAGUGUUUCAUGAGAACAUCAAACUUCUGGAUGGAAACAAUCUCUUGACAUAUUUCGACCUUUUCUUAUCGUAACUUUAAAGUUAUGCUCUUCGAGAUUACAAAUAAGGCAAUAUUUCAUCUCUUAGUUAAUUUAAGUUCGUGUUAGUGUAACUUGAUUGUGAGAAUGUCUAAAAUGUUUAAGGGAUUAUGGAAAUAUUAUGGAAGAGAUUACGAAUUACAUCGUUAGACACAACAGAUUUUGGUAUCUAUCUUUUUUAUGAAUAAAACUUUGAUUAAAAAUAUUGCUAUCUUAGUUUGUAUAUUGAAUAUUAUAUAAUAUUUUCCUCAAAAAUUCUAUUUCGUUAUUCCAAUAAAACUGUGUUGAAACUGCAUAAAGAAUAACGUCCAAUAUUUUUACUGCUUUCAAAAUACUUGAAAUUCUAAAAUUGAAUAACGCAAGCUAAUUCUCAAAGUAAAUGCAUCAACCUUUCUAAGAACAAUAAGAACGAUAAAUGGGAUCGACAACAUAGCAUUGAUCGAGCAAGUUUAUCAAUUGUGUUAAACAAAUUAAAGUUUGAUUGUGUAGUUUAAUUCUGCGAUAUACUUGCUUCAGUCAUUUAAUUGAAAAGUCUUGGAAUUAGAUUAUGCACAAAUAUGUAAUUACAUAUUAAUACUUUAAAUUUGUUAUCUCUCUUAGCAGUUAUUUCUCUUAGGUCGUGCAAAUGAUAUGUGGUUCAGAUGGUUAGCAAUCGCUAGAACCAAAACAAAUAAUUACAGAAUAAAUUCUUGUACAUAUAAAACUCUUCGAUAACGUUCACAGAAGUUUAUCUCUAAUUUUUAUUUUCUAAGAGUUACUUCAAUUUAUUUUAUUUGCCUUACCUACUUCAAACAAUUGAAAUAAAACGGACAAUGUUUUAUUACUCAAAAGAUUCGACAUAACAAUGAAAGCUCUUAUAAUAACAACAGAUUUUUAAGGAACUUGAGGAAGUCGAUCUUAAGCGAUACAAGCGAUGAGGAAAGAAUUACAUUUAGAGCAACUUCCUCGAGUCCUUAAAAAAGUGGGCGCGCGUUGCAUUUAAUCGUUCGAUUUAAUCGUACAAUUUAACCGAACGAUUUUUCUCGAGGACGAUAGAAAGCUUCGUACACUUCGCGAACGCGAAGUCUGUGAGGUUUCGCCACUUGCCAGUAGAAGAUUAAAGCGGAAUCUCCGGUAAUCGAUCGCUUGCCCUUCUCUAUUUGCCUGCCACACGCUUCUCUCCCCGCGGAAGCUGCAAUUUCGAGAGUCCGGUAAUCCGUUGCAACUGCGUUCCAUUCUUUCCGGCCGCAUUUGUAGCCCGAAUUUACUUUCGCCGAGCGAUAACGGCAGGAACGUUUGCCUUUCAUCCCGCGACAGUCCUUUAAGUCCUUUAAGUCCUUUAAGAGUUCUUCCUCGAGAAGCUCGGAAGUCGUGUACGAACGCUUUUAAUCCAACCGGAGUCCGCUGCGAGGGAAGUGCAACAAAGAGCCAACCUUUUAAAGCGAUAAAGCUUAACGUUUGCCAAUUGAUAACAGGCGAUAACGAUAAGCCCGAAUAUCAGGAAAAAGAGAUUCCAAUCGUUGGAAAUUAUUCACCAGGCUGAAGAGGCACUCGCGAGAAACACGAUCAAUUCUGCUGAAGAAUAACACGUUUAACGUUCGAGGUAAUAUGUUCAGUAUUACAGUGUGCCAUACUACCGCGAACAUCAGUACAAACUUUUCGAUAGAACGGAUACGAAUUCCGGCUUCUGGAAGGAGCAUCCAAUCCAAGAUAGUCGAUCUGGAAGACAGAAAUCUAUCGAAUAUCUGACGGUCGAUUGGAAGGAAAAAUAGGAUUAUCGAAAAUCGUUUAAGGAUUUGACAAUCGAGGAAGCGUUACAAUGGCUGAGAGAACGGCGACUGACAGUGAAAAAGUGGAAGAAAUCGCGCUGGAUAAGACGCAGGAGAUCAACGCCAUUUUGUCAGCGGAGACGCCGGUUGUCACGGAAGAUGGAGGCGAAAUUAACAGACGGGUCAAGAGGAACAUCAUCAUCGUACCAGAACCCAACGUGUUUGAAAAAGAUGGAACGACAUACCGACGCGAUAGGAAUGGACGUUGGAGACCCGUAUUGCACUAAUUAACAUUCCACACGGAAUUAGUUUGCGUUUUGUUUUUUAAAUGCUUUAUCGAUUUUUACCCAUCGAUUGAUAGGUCAGGUGAUUCAAACGGUUUUAAAGUAUUGGAAAUUUAAUGAAUUUUUAUUAGCAUACUGGCAAAGCGGCUAUAUUAGUAAACGACCGUUACACUCCAAGUUUCCAAGAUAACGUGUAACAUCCUGCAAUAUAUAUCGUUUUAAUUACCACAAAGUUCGGAGACUCAUCUUAAGAUACCUUCGAAGAUUUCAGAAGAUUUCUUGAAAAUGAUCUCUUUAAGAGUUUACAAGUUUUCAAAACCAUCUCAAAAUGAUCUCGAAGAAAUUAUUUCAAGCAUGAUAAUAAUUCGGCAGGAAUGAAUCAAGAUUUGUAUACAUGUGCUUUUGGAAAUAUUUGGAAGAUUCUAUGUACCUUGUCAAGAAAGAACUUUCACAAUU